AUCAUAUCGCAUUAUUCUACACUGCCAAAAACCUAUCUUAAGUAAUCGGCAUCCUACCUUGGAUUUAAGGCGGCUGCCACGGAGGUUAUACUUAUUGGUUUCGACAAUUCUAAAUGGAUGCCCGACGGUUCUGUCAAUCUUGAUGCUCAAUGUGAUGCUAUUGAAUAUUAUUGCAAAACUAGAUUUCACACUAUUCCAGGCUCUGUUGUGGGCAUAUUAACAUUGGGUAACUAUAAUCGCAAG